rfam:Triticum aestivum genome assembly, contig: Triticum_aestivum_CS42_TGACv1_scaffold_593107_7BS
AUAUUACUCCUUCCGUCCGGAAAUACUUGUUAUCAAAACGAAUAAAAGGGGAUGUAUCUAGAUGAAUAUUAGUUCUAGAUACAUCCCUUUUUAUCCAUUUUGAUGACAAGUAUUUUCGGACGGAGGGAGUACAUU